UACGUAGGGGGCAAGCGUUGUCCGGAUUUAUUGGGCGUAAAGAGCGUGUAGGCGGCUAGAUAGGUCCGUUGUGAAAACUCGAGGCUCAACCUCGAGACGUCGAUGGAAACCAUCAGGCUAGAGUCCGGAAGAGGAGAGUGGAAUUCCUGGUGUAGCGGUGAAAUGCGCAGAUAUCAGGAAGAACACCCGUGGCUAAGGCGGCUCUCUAGUACGGUACUGACGCUGAGACGCGAAAGCGUGGGGAGCGAACAGG
rnacentral:rRNA from 1 species